CUGUAAUCCCAUCUAUGUGGGAGGCUGAGGUAGGAGAAUUGUUUGAACCCAGGAGACGAACGAAGGUUGCAGUGAGCCGAGAUCAUGCCACUGCACUCCAGCCUGGGCGACAGAGUGAGACUCCGUCUCAAAAAAAAAAAAAAAAAAGAUCACGUUUUCCCACUCUUCCUCAUGUAAACUAAAUCUGGAGGCAUAGGAUUUGUGAAAAGUUGUCAGGCAGGGCCAAGGCUUUUUCUAGCUAACCUCUCAAAUAUCCUUAGGAUAUUAUUUUUGCCCUCAUAAUUCAAGAUAGUCUACAUAUACAUCAUAUGUGUUUCCUGGUCUCAGGAUCGAGGAGGCAAUUGGGCAAGAUCACUUCCAUAUUCCUUUAAAAAGACUUACUGGCAAUACCACUCAGCAUCUGUGUUUAUCUUUAUUUUUUUAUUUUUUUUCGAGACAGUCUCACUCUGUCAUCCAGGCUGGAGUGCAAUGGUGCUAUCUUGGCUCACUGAAACCUCUGCCUCCGGGGUUCAAGUGAUUCUCCUGCCUCAGCCUCCUGAGUAGCUGGGAUUAUAGAUGUGCGCCACCAUGCCCGGCUAAUUUUUGUAUUUUAAAGAUGGGGUUUCACCAUGUUGGUCAGGCUGGUCUCGAACUCCUGACCUUGUGAUCUGCCUGCCUCAGCCUCCCAAAGUGCUGGGAUUACAGGUGUGAGUCACCACGCCCGGCCUGUGUUUAUUCUUUAUUGGCUAGAACUCAGUAAUAUUACCUUCCUAGCUGCAAGGGAGUCUUACAAAUGUAAUCUUUUUAGCCAGAUAAAUAUGCCCAGGUAAGUGUAUAUAUUGACAAAUUUUCUCAAAGGGAGUCCAUCUGUGUAAACAACACCCAGGUCAUGAAACAGAACAGUGUCAACACCAAAAAUGAGAAUUCUGUUCAUAAAGAAAAGAGAAUAGAUACUUGACAGCAACCAGUAGCCUCUGCAAUAAACCCCAAACCACACUGCCCCACUCAAUUUGCUUGAUACUUAAUUUAAGCAACUGCUUCUUCUUCUAAUGGAAACGUCAUGGAAUCAACAUUUUCAUCAUUACAUCUCCAAUGGCAAGUUCAGUGAGUGGCACAGAAAAGAUGCUUACUAAACAUAUUGAAUAAUUGAUCGAAGAAAUGAAUCUCUCCAACUCUCGAAAAGCUGAAAUAUUAAAUUAACCACUUUGUACCUGAAUUUACAAAAAAAUUUUUUAUAAAACAGUAGAAGUUGUACAGAAAACAAAGUUCAAAAGUUAUUUCAAAUUUCAAUUCACAUAUUUUGUUAUGGUUAUUGUUGAGUAACUAGUUUCUAGGAUUCAGGCAGUGAGCAAUUUAUAUACAUUAUCUCAUUUAAUUUGCAAAGAAAUGUAGGUAGUUUUAUCCAUAUUGAAAACUGAGGCUUAGUGGGAUUAAGUGGUUUAUUAAAAGUUAUACAAUUAGUAACAUUUUCCUAAAGUUUAUGUUCCUAUGUCACUUCUCUGCAUACAAUUCUUAAGUCUCUUUGCCUUCUGCCUAUAAGAACUCUUUCUCAUGUUGCUACCGAGUCCAGGCCCAUUUUGUUUUUCUCUGAACCCCUGAUACUUGUUAUAUUCUGGGUCUUUUCAUACACACUUUGUUUCCCAUCUUACAUAUCCAUGUACUAAUUUCCUGGCCUGCCCUCCUGUGUCAAUUCCUUCUCCUUUAUAGUCCCACCUUGUGCCAAGUCUCAUCAAAGCACUUCUCAGCUGUAUUAUGAUGUCAGCUUUCUUGUUCAAUACACCCUGGGUGACAAGCUUGAGAGGAGGGUCCUAGCUCAUCCACUGCUUGAUCCUUAAGCACACAAUAGCCACUUGGAAAUACAUGUUGGAUGAUUGAAUGAAUGAAUGAAGUAUAGUGCUAUGAUUCAAAGCAACAUCUGGGCAAUUCCAAAGCUUGUUUGUCAAACCUACUGAUACAUAGCGUCACUUUAGAGCUCCUUGUCAGCAAGAGACAGACUUAUCACAACAUAUAAAUUCCAAGAUGGGCUGUAUCUUCUCCAGAAGAGCAUUCACUCACCUGAUUUUCCCACAGAACAUGACUAUCCCCUAAGCUAUGAAACAGUUUCUUUCAGUCUGUAUCUCCCAGCUUGACACAUAUGACCACAAAAGGUUGCUUUUUGUAAUGUUUAUCAUGAUGCCUCUUUUUAUUACCUUCUAAUUGCAAGCAGUGGCUCCUUUUUGAGCCAUAAGAACUCAAACAGGCUUUGGCGAGGCCCAUCAUCCCUAAAUGGUGUGUGUCACGGCAGAGCACUGAUUGCUUCCUCACUCCAAAUAUUGGAGAUCUGGACACUGACAAACAUCCUGUGGGGAGGAUGUUCAGUGCCAGCUCCUGGGAACAGAUCACUUGUCCACCAAAGUGUUUUUCAUCGUUCGUUCUUUGGAUUCUGUGAACUGUGUAGGCUGGGCUUUGAUUUGAUGAUUAGGUUAGUGAACUCAAUAAAUAAAGGCUAUUUCCCACUCUUAUUGUUUCAUUUCCAGUGCAGCCCUGGCCAGAGAGGGCAGAAGCCAUUUAUUGUGGAUGCAAAGCUGUGACUAUGGCUGCCUGAACAGUGUGAUAUAUGUUCUCUAUCUCUGCUUUUAUAAGGCAGCUGUUUCUCGGAGGAUCAAGCUCAGGUAUCGGCAGUGUGAAUUAUGAGUCCUAAUCAACUUGGUCAUGCUUUGUGGCCUGGGAAAAGCCAGAAUGUUUCCCUUUUAUGAUUUGAGAGUGCACUUUUUGCAGCCUGUGGAGCAAUUAGUCAAUCUUUGAAAUGGAUACGCAGUAAAUGCAGCAUGUCCUUGGAGAGCCACUGGGACAGCUUACUAUGGGAGGGGAGGCCAUAAGGUGAUCCCCACAACAAAUGCCCUAGCUUUGGCUAAAAGAUCUGCAAGACAAUGGAAAACAUGACUUUAAGAGAAAGAAAACGAAACUUCCAGACAGUCAGGAACAUCGACAUAUUCAUAGAUGCCCCUCCCCACAUGAAAUCACUAACUUGUCAAAGAGAUUUUAUAGCAUGAAGAAUAAAGGUUAAAAAGGAACCUACUAUUUACUUUAUAAUUUUAAAGUUAUUUACAUAACUUUAUACAUAGUUGAAACUUUCAACUAUUUCUCUAAUUGUCACAUUGAUUUGUCAGGCUUAACAUUAUGUUUGUGUAAAGAAAUGAUGAUCUGAAAGUGUGGAGGAAGACCAGAAAUCAAACAUACCUCAGGUUUAGAUGAGAACUGGGAAGUGGGAGCUUUUGUCCUUGGCAUGAUUAUUUUUCCCCUGUGCAUAUUUUUAGAAAGGUAUAUUGAGGUAGCAUUCACCGAACAUAAAAUUAACCAUUUUAAAGUGAACAGUUAUGUGACAUUUAGUACAUUCAUAAUGUUGUACAAGCACCAUGUCUCUCUAGCUUGAAAAUAUUUUUGUUACUCCAAAAGAAAACUUCAAAACAGUUAAGCAGUUAUUCCCUUUCCCCCUUUCCCAUACCCGCUGGCAAUCACUAAUCUGCUUUCUGUUUGUGUGGAUUUACCUAUUCUAGAUAUUUCAUAUAAAUGAAAUCAUAUACUGUGUGACUGUGUCUAGCUUCUUUCCUGUAUAUAUAUAACAAAGAAACCAGAGUUAGGUAACAUAACAUCAGGUGAAAAGAUAACUUGGUUCCAGAACUGUUGUUCUAGGAACCCCAGAUGGACACUUAUUUGAGAUGGGUACUGAAAAUAUGGAAACAAACAUUAAAAAUAUACUACAAAGCUGUAGUAAUCAAAACAGCAUGAUAUUGGCAUUAAAAACAGACACAUAGACCAAUAGAAAGCCCAGAAGUAAAUUCACAUAUUUAUGAUCAACUGAUUGUUAACAAAGGCACCAAAAACACACAAUGGGGAAAGGAAAGUAUCCUCCAUAAAUUGCUAUGGGAAAAUUGGAUAUCUGAAGACGAAAGAUUUUUAUCUUUAUCUCAACAUCAUAUACAGAAAUCAACUCAAAUGAAUUAAAGACUUAAAUGUAAGACCUAAAAUUGUAAAACUACUAGAAAGGGGGAAAAUCUCUAUGACAUUGGUCUCGGCAAUAAUUUCUUAGGGCCCAAAAAGCAUAGGCAGCCAAAGCUCUUCUACUUAAUUCAUUUUUUCACAGCACCUUGCAAUACUGUGGGUUAAGUAUGUGUGUGUGGAAGGACUUGCCAAUAGUCUUGCAUAUGUCAAUUAACAGUUGUUUAUUCAGUACUCAUAGAUUCUCCUGCAUGUUUUUAUCUUUGCCAAACAGCAUAAGUGUACAAUUUAAAAUUUAGAUCAAACUACACUCUCGUGAGCAGCCUCAUAUAUAAUAAAUAUAAUUAGUAAUAGAGAGAAAACCAGUAUUUAAUAAAUCACUUUUGUAGAACAAUCAUUUAAUUUAGAUGAUUAGUUAUUUGCUAAAUUACUCAAGUAACAACCUGCUUCUGAGUGGAAAAAAGCAAAAAAAAAAAAAAAAAUUUAAAAAUGAAGUAUUACUGCUCUCAGUAAAUAGGACCAUUAUCUAUCCAAUUUCUAAAUCCAAACUUAAACAUCCUUGAGCCUUCCCUUUCCUUCAGUUUCAACAUCCAAUCAACUGCCAAUUCUCCUUUUCAAGUCCUUGAAGAUUCUUUAUUACACUAAUGUGUCUCUAAUACACUGCCAUUCUUAUUUCAGUGUUCCAUUGUUUCCUUUCUGGGACACAAAACAGCCUCCCAGUUUGUCUACUAACUUUAGUCUUGAUCCCCACUAAUCCACUUUUCCCCAGCCUUUGGGGUACUCUUUACACACAUACACACACACACCACACUCGUAUACUACCCUAUUAAAAACCUUCAAAGUUUUGCUGCCUUUGAAAUAAAUCUGAACUUACAGAAACUGACUAGCAUACAAUUCUAGCAGUAUCUCUUUCCACUCGCAAUCAUUCAUGUCUUCCCUGCUAUGUUCCAUCUAUUCAGAACUUUUUUAGGGUCCUGACAGCACCCUGCCUUUUUCUGCUUCUUGGGCCUUUGUUUUUAUUGCUUCCUUUGCCUGAAAUGCACCCUUCUCUAAUCCUUUUUCACUUAGAUUCUCCUUCGUGUAUUUCAGGACUUAGCUUAGAUACUACUUCAUCUAGGAAGUCUUCCUUCCACCUCUCAGCUCUCCAGGGCCUGCAAUCUGAACCCUUCCUCAGUUCAUGAAGCACCCUGGAAUCAGACUUUUAAUUGCCAGUUUAGGUAUUUUUCUCUUCCCUGAAGUGUACAAUGCUGGAAGACAGGGAUUAUGGCUCAUUUGUUAUUGAUUCCCCAGUGCUUAAUAUAAGUUAAGGCCUGGCAGUGAUAUUUAUUGAUGGAUCAUGGGAUAUUGGGAAGGUUUAACUGGUCUCAAGAGGCCAGAGACUAAAGGUUUACUACAUAAGGCCACAUCAUUUUAUACACUUCUUGAUCAGUUAGACGAAAUAAUGCCGAUCUAGGCUUAAAAGACUCAAUGUCAGAACGCUUUUGCUCAGCUGUUCCGGAAGAAGCAGAGACUGAGUAGUAAUAGUUUCAGUCAUUGUCUCCAUUGAGACUAGUAAGACUAUCGCCUCCCUGAAAUCUGGCCCUGCACACACAUGCAAUUAUCUUUCCUUCUUGUGAAAUUUUAUAAGACUUCAGAGUUACUCAUAUUCUGGACUGGCUUCCUGACCUCAGUUUAUGAAAUGAAAGCAGAGAACUGAAUACAAUAGCCCUAAAAAAAAAACUUUCCCAAUGAAACAAAUCUUGUGCCUUGAUGGGGUGGUAGUUAAAUAAGUCUGUGUGUCUGUGUGGUCACUGAAUCAACCACUGGUCAUUGAGUUAGGGUUUGGAAGACCGUCUUGUAGGACUAAGACUGAUUGGUCUUACUGGCAGUCCCAGCAGCCUCAAACAUUUGUUACAUUUGUUUCACAACCUUUGUUUAAUAACUUUUGUAGAAUUGGUCACUCCUACAUUUGUGCUAGCAUAGCACUUUAUGCAAGCAAUUACUAUGGUGUUAUCACCAUGGUAUGAAGUUAUUUAGGAGUAGAUUUGUCUCUCUUUGAGCAUAGAAAUUGCUUCUCAAAUUCCUCUUUAUACCUUUUGUGCGUAGCACAGAACCCCAUACAUGAUAAGUAAUAACAACGAUUACUUUAAUAGAAUCAAAUAGUCAGUUAUCUUAUGGGAGUGAAAUUGUGUCUGAUUCUUCUCCUCUCUCUAGUACUAGUAUAGUUUCAUGAAAGGCUCUCAAUUGUUGUUGAUAUUAUUAUAGAAAAUGAAAAAUUCCCUUGCUCCGUAAACAUAACGCCGUUACUGAUCACACACUAUCCCCCAAGCUAUAGGAGUGUAAUAAUGCUCCUGUGUCAGAGAUGAUCCUGAGAAGAAUAGCCAUGAUUCAACUUGUUAGUACUCUGUAUUCUCAAAACCCCAUUAGGGAAUACAUAUUAGGAGUAACUCAAUUAAAAACAUAAAAUUUACUGUGUAAUUAUAUGUGUCUCACAUAUCAAAUUAUUGUUAAGGCUCAUAAACAUGGUUUGAAAUUAAAUCAAGGACCAUCUAUCCUAGCAGAUGCAAUGACCAGAAUUCAGUGUGCCUGGUCCACUUGACCACAGCCAGGCUUGGAAUCUGUGGGUGUUGGCUUGCUUUGCAGGGAACAUUUCCUUGUCUCAACUGUGCCACUUGGUAGAGGAAAGGCUAUUUUUUUGGUCAUAGUGAUCCCAUUUUUUCUCGGAAAAGAUAAAGAUGCCUCUCAUCUCAGGGCUCCAUACUUAGGGAACACAGAGUUCUGUUCUCCCCGUGGGAAUCGAAGAAUGUCAAUCAGAGAAUGUCACAUCCAGUCAGUUCAGAGGAAGGAGAAUAUCUUCCCACAUUCUUUACUCUGACUCUGUUUCCCAGAGGAUGCAUUUAGUUAUUUUAGUGAGUCAUAAAAAAUCCCUGGAGGUAUCAUACUUUUCUGAGUUUGUGCUUCCCUCUACCAGCUUUUUUUUUUUUUUUUUUUUUUUUUUUUUUUUGGCUAAAGAAAAUUAAGGUGGUGGGUAGAGAAGUGGUAAUGAUGAUUUAAAAAGAGGAGAGAGUUCAGGAACAAAAGCGUCAGUUUCAAAAGGCCAUGUGGUGUAAUCACCACCAUGCAAACAUGUGGCCUUGGGCAAGUCAUCUAACUGCUAAGAGCCUUAGUUUCUUCAUCAAUAAAUUCAGAAAAAUAAGGCCUGUUAUUUACUAAAAUGUGCAUUUAUUAUUUUUAUAUAUGCUUGUACUUAUUUUAAAUGAUAAAGUCUUACAAGAUAGCUCACAGAAACUAGUUCAAUUAUGCUGAGGUGUGCUGAUCUUAAUGGGACCAUCAGAUCCACCCAGAUAGGGAGAAUCUUGUAGGACUAGUUAGUUCAGCUGAGCUUCUUAAUCCUGAUUGCAAUGGGUGGUUUUACCAAAGAGGUGCCUGAGGAAGAGUUAGCGUUGCUUUCCUUUACCACUUUUUUGACUCCAAAUAGGCAACUACAAAGUGGUCAUGCCAUUUUAAUAGGUUUCAUUGUGUUGCUUGUUGCCAAUUUUAUACAAGCAAUGGUUUCACAUUUAUAUUAGUGAGAGAAUUCUAAUCUUUGGCAGAUAGGGGCUCUAUUUAUUUAUAGCUCUGUGUCUUAGUUUCUUCACCUGUCAGAUUGGGCCAAUAAUACAUGUCCUCCUUAAAGUGGAGUUGUGAGAUCACAAAAUAAAAGUGUUUUGAAAAGGGGAAAGCAGUAAUUCCAUGGAAAUUGUUUCUAUUUUGCCUUGUCUUUUAGUUUAGUACAGUGAUAGGCAACUGUUAGGCAUACAAUAAGCAAUUGUUCAAUGACCUAAAUGAUUAGAAGGUAACCUCUGGAUUGGAUCAGAACACUCAUUGUUGAAUCUCCACAGAUGAACAAGGCUGAUUGGCUCGUUCACUUCAAGGUUUAAAGAAAAAGAGCUGUGUAAUUGCAUACUUCUUCCCCUUAAAGGAGAUGUAUCUCCUAAUUAAACCAAUUGUAGUCUUUCUUCUGGACUAUGCAAGCCAUUAGGUAACACUUUAGUCACAAUGGAUACAUAGCAGGGUUUUUCAGCUUUGGCACUAUUGACAUUUUGGGCCGGAUAAGUCCUUGCUGUAGGGGCUAUCCUGUGCAUCCCUGAUCUCUACCCACUAGGUGCCUAUAUACACUCAGUACUCCCAUCCGCUCCCCCACAAUUGUGGAAACCAAAAAUAUCUAAAUCUCUCCUGGGGGAAGGGGACAAAUUUUUCCUCGGUUGAGUAGCACUGGGAAUAUAGAUUGAGAUACUAGAGUAGUAUACAAAUCAACCAUUAAAUAUUUGUUGGUUGAUUAAAUCACUCCUGUAACAGCUGUUUAUGGAUCACCUACCAGGUACCUAGUUCACUUGACCACAGCCAGGCCACACCGAAGUCUGACUUUUUUUUCCCCUAAAGGCUCAGAAUAAGAAGUGGAAAUGCUAUUUACUAAAAUGCACAUUAUUUUACCAAGGUCUGUAUUAGUCACAGUCUAGCGGAUUUAAAAACAUGAAUAGCUAUGUAUAAUAUGAGGUAGUAAAAUACACACUACUGUGAUAGAAUUAAGAACAUUGCUAUGAGAAUACAAGUUAACUCUUGUCUUAAGGUGUGGGUGGUUUUGGAAGGAUUCUCAGAGGAACACGACUAGGAUCUCAUAAGUACAAAUGAUUAUUUGUACAAAUUUUCCCAGCUGUGUAAAUUUCCUGUACAAUUAGUUGUUUUUGUUAUGUUAUAUAUUUUUAAGAGCUAAGUGUUUAUUAAGUUGGUUCUCCUUGAAGAUGGGAAUGAGUUUUGUGUUUAAAAAGUAGCAGGCAGGCUGAUGGACAGGUAUUGUGUUGGUGCACCACAUACUAUAGCUGUGAAUAAAACAGAUACAGACCCUGCCUCCAGAUGCAGAGGCUGCCUCCAGAAUAUCUAAAGCAUAAUUCUAGUCUUUUGUCCUUCCCUUACUUCAGGUACCUCUUUACGUAUGUAAUUCUCUCUCAUAGCCUCAGUUUUCCCAGGUAUGAAAGUAGGAGGCAGGAUGAGAUUAUCCCAAAGUGUCAGCAUCUGACCUCUUAUUAAUUAAAUAUUUCUUUUAUCGCCCACAGUCCUAAAUCACUAAGUUCUCAAGAAAAGUCAAUUGCUACUUGCCUUGUGGGAAUAAAAUAGAUUAAAAACCUUAUUCUGAUAUAGGUCCAUUCGAGGUUCCUGGAGAAUGGCACCACUUUCUCGGGGAAGAUAUUUUUGCCUAAUUGGAUAUAUUCAUUUGGAAGUAAGAGGACCUAGAAGAAAUGAGAAAUAAAGAAUAUCAGGUUCUAAAAAUAUUUAUUAUGUAAGUGCUGAGGCUCAUAUCUGGGAGAAUUAUAUCAGUCUUACGAGAUUCUAUUCCUGUAUAGGUGCCAUAACUAAAAGUUCUUUGUCCCACAGCUACGAACAAGGAUAUCACUCUCACAGGAUUUCUACCUAUUCUAUUUUUCUACGCAGCACAAAACUUGAUUAUUUCUUUCUCUGGAGACAAUGACUACUAAUAGUAAUAAAAGUAAUCCAUAAAGAUGAUUAAACCAUAGUUAUAAUUUGUAACCUAAAUACUGUAUAAAUUCUCAAACUAUUGCACAUGAAGUAUCUACUUGUUCCUCCCAAAAACAAUAUCACGUAGGUUAUGCAGAGGUCAUUAUUUUCAUUUUGUAUAUAGGGAGCUGAGAUUUAGAGAAGAUGAUGAACACAUUUGAAUUUUCACAGAAAAGAAGAUGCAGAGUCAUGAUUUUACUGAUGUUUUCACAACAUCAGGAUAUUGCAAAAUAUUCAAUAAUGAACAAAAUGAGUCAAAACCAAAGGUAAGCCACAGGGUAAGGGUAGAUAAUUGCAAUACACAUGCUAACAAAGGAUUUAUAUCCAAAAUAUAUAAAGAACUGCUACUAGUCAAUAAGUACAAGACAGACAACUCAACAGCAAAACUUGGGCAAAAAGCCUGAAUAGAAACUUCAUAAGAGUAUAUUUAAAUCACCGAUAAACUUAAGAAAAGUUGUUCAGCUCCAUUAGUCAUCAGGGAAGUGAAAGUUAAAAUCACAAUGCAAUGUCACUAUGCAUUAACCAGAAUGAUUCAAAUGAAAAAGGCAAACAUAUCUAAAGUUAGUGACCAUGUUGAGCAACAGAAACUCUUACACACUGCCUGCAGGAGCAUAUGUUGUUGCAAACACUUUGGGAAACUGUUUGGCAGUGUUGACUAAAGUUGGACAUUUUCAUAUCCUAUGACCCAGUUAUUCAGUCCUAGGUACCUAAAUGAACACUUGUCAACAUAUAUCAACAAAAGAAAAUCAUCUUUGAGAAUAUUUACAGCAACACUAUAAUGGUCUUAAAGUAGAAUAAUAUAAAUAUUUAUCCACAGAAGGACAGAUAGGCAAACUGUGAUGUGUUUAUAUAAUAAAAUAUUAUAUAGCAAUGAGAAUGAAAGACGCAACUGUAGUCAGCAACAUUAAUUUAUCUUAUAAACAUUGAGUUAGUGAGAGAAGCCCUAAGCAAAAGAGUGCCUAGAGUAUAAUCCUGUUAAUACAGAUUUUAGCAAGAGUUAAAAGUAAUCUUGGUGAUAGAAAUUAGAAUAAUAGUUACUUUUCGGGUGCAGAGAUCAGAUGAGGGUACAAGGGAUUCUGGGAAGCCGAUAAUGUUCAAUUUUAUGAUAUGGAUGCUGGUUAUACAGGUUUGUUCAAGUUUAUGAAAAUCCAUAAAACUGCACAUAUGUAAUUUGUAUACUUUUGUGUAUGUGUGUUAUUCCUCAAUACAAUUUUACUAAGUUUAACAAAUAAAGAACGGAGUCAUUAGGACACAAGGAAUAUCUCUGUAUGCCAAGAAGAGAGAUGACUUCAUGAGAAAUUACCAACAAGUUUUGGGGUGGCUUAAGAAAGUACAGCUGAGGAAAUGAAGAAUGAAAAAGGGGUAUAUCAGUAUGUGAAUAGACCACUGGGCACCUGCUCAGAUGAAAAAUAAAAAGGAACUGAUGUGGGUUUAGUAAAUUUCUGAAGGUCCAAUAGUUUGCAAGUGGUUCAGCUGGAAUUCCAAUCAAAAUCGUUUUAUUCCCUAGCUCCUGCUUCUUCAACUAUAUCAUCCCAGCAGGCAAUAUUUUACUUCAACCCUGAAAUAGUGAAGAAUAGGAAAAGCAGAAGGAGGAAAAAGAGUAGAUGUCAUCGAAAAAUGAUGUUAAAUAUUGGGUUAAAGUCAGCCUUUCACUAUAAGCUCUGUGAGGAUGCAGUCCGUAUUUAUCUUGCUAGCCUCUCUUGACCCAAGAAUAGUUCUUUAAUGGAAAGAAUGCAUAAAUGAGUUAAUGAAUGAUUGAAAAUAGAGGAGAAAGAAAACAGACUUGGGAAGAUUGCCACCCUCCAUCAAACUAACAAAGUCUUUUGUUUUCUUUGUUUUUUUUCAUAUUUUAAGUUAAUAAAUGAAUAGAAAAUUAUAUAUGUAAUUACAUAUUUAUGUAAUUAUGUAAUUUUGUUGUAUAUAUACAAUUUUAUAUACACAAGUAUAUACAAACACACACAUAAUAAUGUGUGUGUGUUUAUACACCCACCCUAUACAUACACACUUACUUGGCCUACAAAUUCAGGGAUCUCAAUAUCCCUAAUUACAGCUUACAUUGCAGGCUACACAGAAGCACUGCUGAUUUCAGCCCUGGCAGGACUCCUGUUUAAACAUACUUCCCAGAAAUCUUGGGCAGCUUGCCAUGGCAUUGUGUUAAGAAAAGGAUUGGUAGACAGAGAGAUGCACUGUUGAGAUUACCCUUCAGGAAGGACUUGCUACCGACUACAGGGGACAGGAAUCAGCAGACAUCCUCCAGCCAUCAGCUUCUUCAGGAUCUACCUCAGCGUCAAGGAACCACCUGACCUGAGGUCUCAUUCUUCCUUGGGCAGACUACAUCUUAUAACAAAGUGAGAUGUACCCAUAGGGUCAAGCUCCAGCACAGAGACCCAUCCUGGGAUGCAGGACUUGGUGCCAGGGAAGUCCCAGCAUCUACUUGUUUCCAAAGUUAUUUGGGUCAGCAUUUUCCUCCACCCACCACUUAAAACUGAUUUGUUUCAUACAUUUGAAAUGUAUGAAAAGCCAGAAAUCCAGGACCCACCCUGGCCUGCUCCCUUUUUCUCACCUACUGUGUUAAGGAUAAGUCAAUUGAGCUUCACUUCUCUAAUUGAAAUCACCGUGCUGAUGGAGUCUGUCUGUGGAAAUGAAAGGUGGCUACCAUAAUCUGUUGGGAGUUGAAUUAAUCCUCUGGGAGUGAGGCUGACCUAAUUACUCAGAAAUACUGGGCUUGCUUUCAUUCUGUGGAAUACAGCCAUGAGAAAGAGGCCAGCAUGCCAUUUCCUAAUCUUUUCUUGAAUUGCCUGAAACUCACCUAACAUGAAACUGAGAAGCCUUUUCAUUUGAAAGUGGUAUUUCUUAUGUUUUUUAUCUUUUUGCUUGAAAGUAUUCUUAAACUAAAGAAAGGAGAAACAGAAAAGGUGAAGAAGCCAAGAGGCUGGAGUUUCCUUUUGAAUGGAUAUUCAUCCAUGAAGCUGUUGAUUCUGUUUUUCUGUUCCUCCAGAUGUCUACACUUUUACCUCUGCUUGCCUGAUACAACCACCACCAGUCACCUCACAGAAUAACUCACUCCUUAAGAAUCUGAUCAGGAAUCAGCCUUCCCUGAUCACAAACACUGAGUUUAGAAGUCCCUCCACAGUGUCCCCCGUAACCCUGUGCUACCUCACUGCCUCAUAGUUUAGUGCCGUUUGUGUACAUGCCUAUCUUCGUCCAUGGAUCCAGAACAACUUGUAAAAAUGACUGUACUUAUCACCUUCAGUAUUCAAUGACUAAACUAUAAUUUUAACAUAUCUGGCAGAAUGAAUCACUUGGGGAUUUCUGCCAACACUACCAAUAUAUUACUCCUAAUUUGUAAUUAUUACUUAGCAUGGAUUAUAGUACCGGCUGUUGGAGAGCCAAUGUGGCAGACCCUAAGUGGAAUAAAAUGUCAGUAGCAGUCUAGGAGCAUAUAUUUAUUGGAAUAGAUCAUUCAUUCAUUUGUUCAUUAACUAAUUUGUUCAUUAAAUAAACAUUUAUUAAGCACUCAUGGUUUAGGACGCAUUUUGUCCAUUUACUCAUUCAUUUGUUCAUUUGACACAUUGUUUAUUGAAGUGCUAUUAAGUGUUAACAUUGUGUGUUUAUUGGUGAAUGUAACAGGCAUGUUUCUUCUAUGGGAAUCUUUUAGGAUAGUGGAGAUAACAGACAAUACAAAUGUAAACAUACAAAUGUAAGUUAUGUAAAAUGUAAAAUUAUGAGUUGUGAUAAGUGCUUUGCAGGAAACCAAAAAUGUGUAAUAAUAAAGAAUAAAAAUGAAAAGAUAGGAGGAAGAUGGGGUAUCUUGGGACCUUCCUC
rnacentral:lncRNA from 1 species